rnacentral:rRNA from 1 species
AAAAGCGGAGGAAAAGAAACUAACAAGGAUUCCCCUAGUAACUGCGAGUGAAGCGGGAAAAGCUCAAAUUUAAAAUCUGGCAGUCCUUGCGGCUGUCCGAGUUGUAAUUUAGAGAAGUGUUAUCCGCGCUGGACCGUGUACAAGUCUCCUGGAAUGGAGCGUCAUAGAGGGUGAGAAUCCCGUCUUUGACACGGACUACCAGGGCAUUGUGAUGCGCUCUCAAAGAGUCGAGUUGUUUGGGAAUGCAGCUCAAAAUGGGUGGUAAAUUCCAUCUAAAGCUAAAUAUUGAGGAGAGACCGAUAGCGAACAAGUACCGUGAGGGAAAGAUGAAAAGAACUUUGGAAAGAGAGUUAAACAGUACGUGAAAUUGCUGAAAGGGAAACGCUUGAAGUCAGUCGCGUUGUUCAGAACUCAGCCCGCCUUUUGGUUGGUGUACUUUCUGUUCAAUGGGUCAGCAUCAGUUUUGGUCGGCGGAUAAAGGCUCAGAGAAUGUGGCACCUUCGGGUGUGUUAUAGCUUUGGGUUGUAUACGUCGACUGGGACUGAGGAACUCAGCACGCCGAAAGGCCGGGUACUUGUACCACGUUCGUGCUUAGGAUGCUGGCAUAAUGGCUUUAAUCGACCCGUCUUGA